rnacentral:rRNA from 1 species
CUUGGUCAUUUAGAGGAAGUAAAAGUCGUAACAAGGUCUCCGUAGGUGAACCUGCGGAGGGAUCAUUACCGAGUUCAUGCCCUUACGGGUAGAUCUCCCACCCUAUGUUAUAUAUUACCUUUGUUGCUUUGGCAGGCCGUCAGGCUUCGGUCAGGCUACCGGCUCCGGCUGGUAAGCGCCUGCCAGAGGACCCUAAACUCUGAAUAUUAGUGUUGUCCGAGUACUAUAAAAUAGUUAAAACUUUCAACAACGGAUCUCUUGGUUCUGGCAUCGAUGAAGAACGCAGCGAAAUGCGAUAAGUAAUGUGAAUUGCAGAAUUCAGUGAAUCAUCGAAUCUUUGAACGCACCUUGCACCCUUUGGUAAUCUGAAGGGUACACCCGUCUGAGUGUCAUUGUAAUCUCACUCCACCGACUUUUGUUGAUGGAUGUGGACCUGGACUCUGUUGUGUUACUACAACUGGUCUGAAAUGCCUGAGUGCAUCCUGCUGUUGCAGCGUUUUCAGUGUGAUAAGCAUCUUCACUGGAUCAAGUUCCCUUGGGACACGUAUGCAUUGUGGGCUCUGUGCUGCAAACCGUCUUUGGACAAGCUUGACAAUUUGACCUCAGAUCGGGUGGGACUACCCGCUGAACUUAAGCAUAUCAAUAAGCGGAGGA